rnacentral:lncRNA from 1 species
UUGAAAUUUCUCCCUCUAAAGUCAUUAAUAUGCAGAAACGUUUAAACAGAUUUAUUUUUGUUGCAGCAAUUACAUAAAAAUUGAAAUAAUGUUAAAAUCAGAACUUUAUAUAAUUUUAAUUUCUAUUUAUUACAAUUAAUUUUCUCGUUACAUACAUAAGAAACUUUUGGAAAGCCAUGUAUACAACAUUCAAUAAAAUAAAUUUUUUAUGUGACAAUGUAUCAGUCUAACAGAAGAUUUGGAAAAGGACAGAGUUAUGGUAAAUGGAUUCCGCCUAAGAGUGGGGAGGAAACUGACCGAAAGAGGCCCGAGUAAAUGUAAACGCUUGUAUGAAAUAAUUAUGUCUACAAAUAAAUGAUGUACUUUGAAAUUUUAA